UACAGAGGGUGCAAGCGUUGUUCGGAAUUAUUGGGCGUAAAGGGCAGGUAGGUGGUCUCAUUUGUCGGGGGUGAAAGCCUUGGGCUUAACCUAAGAAGUGCCCCCGAAACGGUGGGACUAGAGUUCUCGAGAGGGUCGCGGAAUACCCGGUGUAGCGGUGAAAUGCGUAGAGAUCGGGUGGAACACCAGAGGCGAAGGCGGCGACCUGGAGAGGGACUGACACUCAACUGCGAAAGCGUGGGGAGCAAACAGG
rnacentral:rRNA from 1 species